UACAGAGGUCUCAACCGUUGUUCGGAUUCAUUGGGCGUAAAGGGUGCGUAGGUGGCGGGGUAAGUCAGGUGUGAAAUUUCGGAGCUUAACUCCGAAACUGCAUUUGAUACUGCCUUGCUUGAGGACUGGAGAGGAGACUGGAAUUCACGGUGUAGCAGUGAAAUGCGUAGAUAUCGUGAGGAAGACCAGUGGCGAAGGCGGGUCUCUGGACAGUUCCUGACACUGAGGCACGAAGGCCAGGGGAGCAAACGGG
rnacentral:rRNA from 1 species